ensembl:piRNA 21ur-9070 ncRNA
CAAUAAAAUUUAAAAGUGCAA